rnacentral:rRNA from 1 species
CCUGGCGGCCGUAGCGCGGUGGUCCCACCUGACCCCAUGCCGAACUCAGAAGUGAAACGCCGUAGCGCCGAUGGUAGUGUGGGGUCUCCCCAUGUGAGAGUAGGGAACCACCAGGU